rnacentral:lncRNA from 1 species
CUCGGUGUUCAACAAUAUUCUUUUCUGUUGUUCAUGUAUGAACAAAUUCGAGUGUUCUGUGCUUUCAGGAAGUGGCUCCCUUGUAGGGGAUUGAGAUGCACCAUGGUGGCUCUCCUACCUUCACUGCUUGAGAGCUCUCUGCUCUAUUGUUAUUAUAAAGAACAUAGAUAAAGAUACAAACAUAGACGUAAAUAGCCUCUGCUUAGUCAUAACCACUUUCUGAGAUCUGCUUUCUCUGGAGUCCUACCUCUUCCCACAGGGUUUGAUCCUUUUCUCUCCUUUGCCCUCAGAGUUCCUGUCCUGCUCAAUUUGAAUUCUCUUUACAGUAGCAUCUCCUUAGGAAAGGAGUUUUAUUAGAUAUUUCUGAGUUCUUUGAGCACUUAACCAUUGCAGUACCUUCUGAUCUCUCCUUAGUCCCUUAAUGUGUAGCUGGGCUCUUUUAUUCCACUCACCCUAAUCGGAGGCUGGAACCUUCUUCUUUACACUGUUAUUCUCACAAUAUUCACUUGCUGAGCAAAAAGGAUUCCUUCCAAGAAGGGACUGUCUCUUGUUGAGUAUUUUUUGGCAAUUGCUGUAUUGCAGUGCUUGUACAACCAUUAAAACUCUCUUUCUCUCCCCUCCCCUCCCCCUGCAUAGCUGCUAAAUCUAGGCAUGUCAUGCAUGGGUCCUCCAUCGUCUGUGGGUUGGGCGAGGCAAAACCUACUGGUGUUCUGACAUUCAUGGGCAUGUCCUGUUAGUUGGUUUUCUGGAGGAUGUUGUAAGUAGAAUUUUUCUUUUGCUAGUCUAGUUACUUAGUGUGUUUUUAGGAAAGGAUUGGAGAAAUUAAAAAAACUAUGCAUCAUGAUUUGUCCUGACUUGAAAUCAAGUUGGGCUUAUUUUUAAAUCAUGAACCUAUCAAUCAAGGUAACACAGUCACUGAUUCUGCAUAACCCCAUUGUUACGCAGUUAUGCUCCUAAGAUUAUAGUUACUUCCAAUGUAGUUUUUGUUCAACUUAAUUAUUUAUUAGGUUUCUUAAAGAUGUUCUUUUCAAGUAUACUCAGCCUCUAUCUCAGAGUUGCCCACAUUCUGAUAUUGCUUACAUUUUCCUCACCAACUCCCUUCAAAUUAUAGCUUCCUUCAUUAGCUAGCCUCAGUUUUAGAGUAUGUACAUAUGUGUUCAGAACAAUUUUUUCCAUCAAUGAUAUUCUUUUUGCUUUAAAAUCAGACUUUAUUUGAGAACUUCCUCAUGCUAAAAUUGUUGUAUUUUCCUCCUAGGCGUGUUUCAAGUUGGUCUCUAUAUUUCAGGAGCUUCAGUCAGAAGGCCUCCUUUAAUGUUCAGAGGACUCACUAAAUCAAAAAUGGUUUCCUUGAGAGGGUGGAUAUAAAAGCAAGAGCUCAAAGACAAAAAGGAAGACAUUGAAAGGAGGCAGGUCAAAUACUGAAAGCAAUGAAAGACCAGGAAGCAAAGAGAAAGGAGAAGAGAAAAACAAAUAACCCCCCCACCACACAUACACACAAAAAAAGAGAGGAAGAGGAGGAAGCACAGGAGGAAAGAACUAGAUUGGAAGAGAAAUAGAAAUGCAAAACGGAAGAGAGAGAGAAAGAAAGGAAAAGAAACUAGCCUGGUUGUUGGACUGCGGUAGCUUGGUCCUUUCCCGCCUGCACCACCCCCUACCCAAACCCCAAUAAUCUCUUCAAGGCAAAGGCUCCUUAGAGAUUUAGUAGAAAAAGAAGUUUUACAGACUGAAUGAAGGUGCAUGAAAUUCUGCUUAGCUUAAUUUGAUCAUAACGCCUUUGGCAAGUCACUGUUUUACCACCUGAAUUGUCUUUAUCUGCAACACCUAAAUAGUUAACAUUAGUAAACUAGAAAAAGUGCCCUGUCUCCAUGUGAGCUGUAUUCCAAAAAUUCAUUUUAAGGUGAUUCAAUUUGAAGUUAGAAUGUAUUUUCCUACAGAAAGUGUUAAAACAGUAUAACAACAGUUCAUAAAAAUAUAUUUAACAGGGCCAGCCCUAGUGGCCUAGUG